UUUCUUUCCUUAUCCUUACUCAUCUCCAUCCACCUACAACACCUCUUACUGGUCACUUCUUAUGUAAUGUUUCUCUUUUUUAUUUUAUUUUUUGACAAUGUGGCACCAUCACAUAAGCAUCUUGUCGGAAAACUUAUCGGAUUUUGGGAUGAGGAAUUUUAGUGUAACAUUUUCAAAAUUUAGAGAUUUUAUGAUAAUAAAAUGAAGAUGAGAGACUUGUGAAACAUCCUCAAAGUUGAGGGACAACCAAUAAAAAUUACCCAAAUAUAAUAAAGAUGUAGUAGUUGUGGUUCUCAUAGUUAUUAAAGGCGCGCCUUAAGCACGUCUCAGGCUCAAGGCUCAACAGACCUCAACUCUAGAGCCUAGGCGUGCGUAUUUAUUCCAAGCACAAGACUCUAAAAAGGCACAUUUUCUUUAUUUCCACAUUUAGUGAGUACUUCCAUGUGCAAAAAUCACUACAACUUAAACUUGAUAUUUGUCAAUCUAUAAGAAUCUUAUAUUGACACACUAGAAAGUUUUUAGAAUUAGUAUCAUUGGUAAUAACUACUAAUCAAAAUCUCAUCAAACUAGCACACCCAAGAUCGCAAACCUCCCAUAUUUUCAUUUUCAACGCUAGCACUCGUUAUCUUUUUCCAAAAAAAAAAAAAGUUGAUACUUUUUUAGUUCUUAAAGAUGAGAGAAAUGAUAAAUAUAUUGAUUUUAAAGAUGAAUACUAAGAGGAUAAAGAUAUAGAAGAAGAUGAAGAAGAUUAUAAUACUACUCUUGAUGAAGAUUCAAGAGUAGUUAUUUUAUAAUUGCUUGACUUUAGUUAUAAAACAUUAAAAGACUAUUCAAGUU
rnacentral:misc_RNA from 1 species